UGCCCAGCAAGUCCUAUCCCUACCUCCUCGCGGUACUGGCAGGGGUAAGAGUAACCGUAGGGAAGAUCAGAUAAAAUCCCCUGGUCGUAUGCUGACAGGGAAGG
rnacentral:ribozyme from 1 species